CAACAGGGCAAGUUUACACAACACUGUCACGUCCAUAACGCCAACUUAAUGCCAUGGUAUUUGUAUGAUGCAAAUGAUUAUGUGAAAAGUUUUUCAUGUACAUUCUACAACCAAGAAGAGUGAAUGCUCAAAUUUCAAGUAAUCAUCAUUCACAUCAUACCAUACCAUGGCAUUGUGUUGGCGUUAUGGACGUGACAGU